rnacentral:pre_miRNA from 1 species
AUUCUAGUCCCUCCGUUGUGCACAAUACAUGCCUUAUUUUUGUCAAAAUAUAUAUGUAUCUAGACAUGUUUUAGUAUAUAGGUACAUAUAUUUUUGGACAAAUGGAAGUCAAGUAUUUUGGAACGGAGGGAGUACACA